rnacentral:rRNA from 1 species
UGCUCAGUAACACGUGGAUAACCUACCCUUAGGACCGGAAUAACCCCGGGAAACUGGGGAUAAUACCGGAUAAGCCAUAGACGCUGGAAUGCCCUAUGGUUCAAAGCUCCGGCGCCUAAGGAUGGAUCUGCGGUCUAUCAGGUUGUAGUGGGUGUAACGUACCUACUAGCCGACGACGGAUACGGGUUGUGAGAGCAAGAGCCCGGAGAUGGAUUCUGAGACACGAAUCCAGGCCCUACGGGGUGCAGCAGGCGCGAACACUUUACAAUGCGGGAAACCGCGAUAAGGGAACCCCGAGUGCCAGCAUCAAAUGUUGGCUGUCCGGAUGAUUAAAAAUCAUUUGUUAGCAAGGGCCGGGCAAGACCGGUGCCAGCCGCCGCGGUAACACCGGCGGCCCGAGUGGUAGCCGUUUUUAUUGGGUCUAAAGGGUCCGUAGCCGGCCUGAUAAGUCCUUUGGGAAAUCUGGCAGCUUAACUGUCAGGCUUCUAAGGGAUACUGUCAGGCUUGGGACCGGAAGAGGUAAGGGGUACUCCAGGGGUAGGAGUGAAAUCUUGUAAUCCCUGGGGGACCAUCUGUGGCGAAGGCGCCUUACCAGAACGGGUCCGACGGUGAGGGACGAAAGCUAGGGGAGCAAACCGGAUUAGAUACCCGGGUAGUCCUAGCUAUAAACGAUGCUCGCUAGGUGUCAGACACGGUGCGACCGUGUUUGGUGCCGCAGGGAAGCCGUUAAGCGAGCCACCUGGGAAGUACGGUCGCAAGGCUGAAACUUAAAGGAAUUGGCGGGGGAGCACUACAACGGGUGGAGCCUGCGGUUU